rnacentral:rRNA from 1 species
GACGUAGGGCGCGAGCGUUGUCCGGAUUUAUUGGGCGUAAAGGGUGCGCAGGUGGCAUGGCAAGUUUGGUGUGAAAGCUUCGGGCUUAACCCGGAAAUGGCAUUGAAAACUGCUGUGCUGGAGGAUCGGAGGGGGGACUGGAAUUCUUGGUGUAGCAGUGAAAUGCGUAGAUAUCAAGAGGAACACCAGUGGCGAAGGCGGUUCUCUGGGCAUUCCCUGACGCUGAGGAGCGAAAGUGUGGGGAGCGAACAGG